rnacentral:rRNA from 1 species
CGAAAGGAACGACUAAUACCGCAUACGUCCUACGGAGAAGCAGGGACCGUUCGGGCCUUGCGCUAUCAGAUGAGCCUAGGUCGGAUUAGCUAGUUGGUGAGGUAAUGGCUCACCAAGGCGACGAUCCGUAACUGGUCUGAGAGGAUGAUCAGUCACACUGGAACUGAGACACGGUCCAGACUCCUACGGGAGGCAGCAGGU